rnacentral:rRNA from 1 species
UCUGAGUUCCUUAACUGACUCAACAGGCGACUUCCGGGAAACCAAAUUUUUCCGGUUCCGGGGGAAGUAGGGUUGCAAAGCUAAAACUUAAAGGAAUUGACGGAAGGGCACCACCAGAAGUGGAGCCGGCGGCUUAAUUUGACUCAACACGGGAAAACUCACCCGGCCCGGACACCGUAAGGAUUGACAAACUGAAAGCUCUUUCUUAAUUCGGUGGGUGGGGGUGCAUGGCCGUUCUUAGUUGGUGGAGCGAUUUGUCUGGUUAAUUCCAAUAACAAACAAAACUCUGGCCUAUUAAAUAGUCGGUAUAUCCAAAAAAGUUUACCGUACUUCUUAAAGGGACAAACGGCGUCUGGCCGCGUGAAAUAAAGCAAUAACAGGUCUGUGAUGCCCUUAAAUGUCCGGGGCUGCACGCGCGCUACACUGAAGGAAUCAGCGUGCUGUAACCCUUUUCCAAAGGGAUUGGUAACCCCCUGAAAAUCCUCCUUGAUCGGGAUCGGGAAUUGCAAUUAUUUCCCUUGAACAAGGAAUUCUUACUAAGUGUGAGUCACCAACUCACGUUGAUAACGUCCCUGCCCUU